rnacentral:rRNA from 2 species
UGCAUGUACUUUAUGAAUAAGGAUCGGCUAACUCCGUGCCAGCAGCCGCGGUAAUACGGAGGAUCCGAGCGUUAUCCGGAUUUAUUGGGUUUAAAGGGAGCGUAGAUGGAUGUUUAAGUCAGUUGUGAAAGUUUGCGGCUCAACCGUAAAAUUGCAGUUGAUACUGGAUAUCUUGAGUGCAGUUGAGGCAGGCGGAAUUCGUGGUGUAGCGGUGAAAUGCUUAGAUAUCACGAAGAACUCCGAUUGCGAAGGCAGCCUGCUAAGCUGCAACUGACAUUGAGGCUCGAAAGUGUGGGUAUCAAACAGGAUUAGAUACCCUGGUAGUCCACACGGUAAACGAUGAAUACUCGCUGUUUGCGAUAUACKGCAAGCGGCCAAGCGAAAGCGUUAAGUAUUCCACCUGGGGAGUACGCCGGCAACGGUGAAACUCAAAGGAAUUGACGGGGGCCCGCACAAGCGGAGGAACAUGUGGUUUAAUUCGAUGAUACGCGAGGAACCUUACCCGGGCUUAAAUUGCAGAUGAAUUACGGUGAAAGCCGUAAGCCGCAAGGCAUCUGUGAAGGUGCUGCAUGGUUGUCGUCAGCUCGUGCCGUGAGGUGUCGGCUUAAGUGCCAUAACGAGCGCAACCCUUGUUGUCAGUUACUAACAGGUUCCGCUGAGGACUCUGACAAGACUGCCAUCGUAAGAUGUGAGGAAGGUGGGGAUGACGUCAAAUCAGCACGGCCCUUACGUCCGGGGCUACACACGUGUUACAAUGGGGGGUACAGAGGGCCGCUACCACGCGAGUGGAUGCCAAUCCCCAAAACCUCUCUCAGUUCGGACUGGAGUCUGCAACCCGACUCCACGAAGCUGGAUUCGCUAGUAAUCGCGCAUCAGCCACGGCGCGGUGAAUACGUUCCCGGGCCUUGUACACACCGCCCGUCAAGCCAUG